rnacentral:lncRNA from 1 species
AUCUGGUGCCCUGUCUCCGCUGAUUGCAGCAUUUCUAUGAAUCACUGCCACAUCUGGGCCUUAGCAUCCUUGCUGUAGAGGGACCACCCCCAUCCACCUGCAUCUCGUGAAACUACCCAGGGGAAGGACCACGGAAGAGGGACGCUGCAGGGGAGGUUUUUACUGAUGUUUCUCUGAGUCACAGUUUCAUGUGUCUUGAGCUUACUACGUAGCUGAAGAUGGCCUUGAACUUGGAUCCUUCUGUGUCCCCCCUCAAGUGGUGGGAUCGCAAGAGUACACCACAAGGCUUGAAUUACUAAGCGAACACUCUCCACACUGAGCUACAUCCCAGCACAUCAGCUGCUGCUUAAUUGACCAUCUGCCUGUUUCAAGUGUUCCUUCAGGUGUGGAGGCCACCCCUAGACCUUAGAGCAGGGUAAUUCUCAACACUUGGGUCUUGUCUCACCCACUUGGGAGCAGAACAACCCUUUCAACAGGGGUCACAUAUCAGAUAUUGACAUUGUGACAUACAACACUAGCAGAUUUAGUUACUUUUUUACGGUUGGGGUCACCACAACAUGAGGAACUGUAUUAAAGGGCCGUAGUGUUAGGAAGGUUGAGAACCAAUGAGAGCAAGACGAUGCUCUCUCAAACCCCAGAGUGGUUAUCUCUGCACCCUACCAGAGUGGCUCCCCUUCCUGCCCCAGGUCUCUGUACUUGAGGCUGAGGGGUCUAGGCAGGCCC